rnacentral:rRNA from 1 species
UACGUAGGGGGCAAGCGUUGUCCGGAAUCAUUGGGCGUAAAGAGCGCGUAGGCGGCCCGAUAAGUCCGCUGUGAAAGUCAAGGGCUCAACCCUGGAAUGCCGGUGGAAACUGUCGGGCUGGAGUCCGGAAGAGGCGAGUGGAAUUCCUGGUGUAGCGGUGAAAUGCGCAGAUAUCAGGAGGAACACCAAUGGCGAAGGCAGCUCGCUGGGACGGUACUGACGCUGAGACGCGAAAGCGUGGGGAGCAAACAGG